UUGAUGUACUGUCAGUGUCAGGUACUGUGUUGUGUUUUGUGUCUAGUUGGUCUUUUGAUCAGAUGUUAGAACAUAGACAAAUUAGAAUCGCUGGCAAAUAAUUUACAAAUGUGGAAUAAAUAAUUUUUUUUUAAUCAUACAACAUUUUUAAAUGUUAUAAUUGUCGAUGCAGUAUUGCAGUUUACUUUUAUGCAGGACAAGUUUUAUUUGAGAUGAGUGUUCUAUUUACUAAAGCAUAAUCAAAGCGUUAAUCAAAUAUAGAAAAAGAUUUCAA